rnacentral:rRNA from 1 species
UGGGGAAUAUUGGACAAUGGGCGCAAGCCUGAUCCAGCCACGCCGCGUGAGUGAUGAAGGCCUUCGGGUCGUAAAGCUCUGUGGGGAGGGACGAACCGCUGGGGGUUAAUAGCCUCCAGCAUGACGGUACCUCCUUAGCAAGCACCGGCUAACUUCGUGCCAGCAGCCGCGGUAAUACGAAGGGUGCAAACGUUGCUCGGAAUUAUUGGGCGUAAAGCGCACGUAGGCGGCUUUGUGUGUCGGAUGUGAAAUCCCUCGGCUCAACCAAGGAAGUGCAUUCGAAACUGCAAAGCUUGAGUACUUAAGAGGAUCGCGGAAUUCCCGGUGUAGAGGUGAAAUUCGUAGAUAUCGGGAGGAACACCAGUGGCGAAGGCGGCGAUCUGGGAAGAUACUGACGCUGAGGUGCGAAAGCGUGGGGAGCAAACAGG